GCCUGGGUAGCUUAGUCAGUUAAGCGUCUGACUUCGGCUCAGGUCAUUGUCCCAACGGCUCGUGGGUUCGAGCCCCGCGUCGAGCU
rnacentral:tRNA from 1 species